UUCUUCAAAGAUUCUCGCUCAGUCAUCGUCAACUGAAGUAUCAAUUACCUUGGAUUCAGAGUUGGUGGAGAAAUGGUCAUUAUGUUCAAUGUAGCCUUUUUCAAAAAUAUAUCACGAAUUUCAAAUUAAUAAAGAUCCAUGGAGUCUUGCCAUUUAAAGACUACCAUUCCAUCAAAUAAAGUUGAGCCUUUAUCCAAUUCUUUGCACUCUUAUUUGUUUCUGUUU
rnacentral:lncRNA from 1 species